UGAUGAACACUUACAACUAACCUUUUAUGCAUUUUAACACGUAGCUCGUCUUUUUAACAGACUUUUAGUGAAUACUCAUGCACGGGAGGCCCUGAACUGAAGAUUCUAGAAAAGGCCCAACGGGGAGAAGGGCUUGUACUAGGAAGUAGCGUAGCCUAGAGCGGACCUUUAGACAGCAUCUCGCUGGGCGUUGGGCAGACUCUUCUCAGAGCAAAGGGAACUUCUUCCCUUAGAACAGUGAGGACAGACGUCCUCCUGUCCUUCUGGGCACGAAGCUGUGUCAUGACUGCAGAGGCGGGGAGGGCAUGGUGGCCUCCUUCCAAAGUGUUUCGCAAGCCUCCUCUCAAGAUUAGACCCUGGGCCGCUGGUCGGGUUUCAAAUCCUAACUGGAAACAGAUUUGCUUUCUCUGCUUUGAUGAAGUUCUGCUGUUUUGUGGGGCUUUGAAGCUUAUUUUUUUGUCCUUAAAUUGCAUUAAUUAUUUUUGAAGUUUAUACUUUUGUUCACGAAGUCUCUGUGAAGGGCAUAACAUGCGUGUAGAUUCAAAUAAUUCAAAGGGAUGUGUCUGAUAGUUACUUUUAAUUGGUAGCAGGGGACGGCAUCCAACUUACUACAAACCUACAUGCUAUGGUUGAGAGCUAAUUAAACUUCCCCUUGAAGCUGGAAUUCAAAGCCUCACUCGUGGCCUGACGUGGUAUUAUCGGGGGAGAAUGUUUGUUUCAUAAUUUGAAACAAGAACCAGGAUCUUGUAUGAGGCCCAGUAUUACUUCCAUAUGAGGGGGCUGGACGGAAGGACAGAGCUGGACCCCUGAGUAGUGCCUCUGCCCUGGGGGCACUGGCCCCUGCACUGGGGGCUGCCCUGCCCUGGGCCCAGGGUGCAGCCGCCUGGUGAGGCUGGGAAGCCAUGAACAUGUCUGUGUGCCAUGUCCACGCGGCGACCGUGAAAGCAGGGGCCCAGGGGAUGGGGUGCGUCCAUGGUGCAGCCUCUGAGCAGAAACUGAAGGCCUGUGGGACCCGGCCCAGAGAGCUCCUAUCCUGGGGGCAGGACAAGUGGGUUGGGCUGGAGGAAGCUGGGGAGGGCGGGCAAUGACCUGGGGCUGCAGGCGUUUUGGGGACUCUAGCUCCUACCGGGAGGGAGGAGGGUGGGCACAGGGGGCUUCUUAGGGGGUGGCUGGGCCUGGCUCCCCAUGGAGGAUACACUAUGGGGGGCAUAAGAGCAAGACCUGCCAGGAGGCUGUGGCCAGUGCCCAGGGCGGCUGUAUGGGGACAGGGGGGCGAGUGCCUGGGUCCUGGGUGGGUUGGCAGGAGAGCUGAGAGCGUCUGCUCAUGGCUGGGUGGAGUGUGAGGGGGCUGCCAGGAGAAUCCUGGGGUUUCAUCUGGAGCCCCUAGAGGAGGGGCUGCCGCUUCCUGAGAGCAGGGGAGAUAUGGGGGACACGUAAUGAACGUGCUGGAGGGGCACCCAGAGUGGAUGUCAUGGAAAUGCACAUCUGGGGUCCCAGGGGAAGGAGCCAGGGGCAUCACGUGACCACCAGAAGGACACACCCAUGCGUCCCAGUACAGAGACCUAGGCGCUUGAACUCUGAGGCUGGGGACCAGGAGGAAAGGUCAGUGAGGUGAAGGGAACUGAGAAGAGGUGUCCAGCAAACCCAGGAGGCCUGGCACAGCCCUGUCAGCCCACCCAGGUUUUCAGAUCAGUGAUGUAUUUGGACGUUUCCUAUCACCUCUUAAAGUUCAAUUUGCUCUACGUUUUCUCAUUCAUUUUUCUUGCUUCUGCCUUUAUUCAGAUUGAUAGCAAAUGCUCACCUGACCAGAGGAGGGUUUAGUGGCUCUCAGAACCCCUGGUCUCCACGUCCUGGUCCCUCAUCUGUUGAAACUACCGGGAGUUCUUGUUCUGGCCAAAUGUGCAGACAGCCCGUGUUCCCCAACUGAUGCUCGGGUAAGCCGGGUGUGGCCCCCCUGCAGCGGGAUCCCCCAGCCGUAAAGAGGGACGGGCUCUGGUGAAACCCCGUCAUGGAUGAACCUCGAAAACAUCGUGGAAGAAGCCAGACACACAUUCCACGAAUGUGAAAUGUCUGGAACAGGCACAUCACAGAGGCAGGAACUUUGCUUGGGUCUGGGCCAUUGGUGUCUUUAAAGCCAGAGAGAAGCUCUGUUUCUCUUUCUCUUCACUGAAGGAAGAGCACCCACUUUUCCCAGCAUGGCUUGUGUGGCUGAUUUACAGAACCACCUGGAAAGAGAAAGGUCUGUCCGUGGGCUGUCCCUGCAGAGCCCCCGUCCCCCUCCAGGCUGUGGAGGCAGCACGGGGGCUGGGGGUCCAGGGUCCAGCCCCCGACGGUCAGAGAACCAGCCCAGCGCUCGGGGUACGGUCGCCGGAACAGAGGGUGGCGCCCAGAGCCCAGCCGCUGGGCUCGAUGUCUGCCUGGUUCUGGUGAGACACCGGCCUAACCAUCACGGCCCUGCAUCGGCUUUCAUCCUGGACAUCGGCGGAGGAUCUUGCGAGCCCUGGACAUUCUUCCUCACGAGUUGGUGCAGAUUCUGACCGUUUUAAGGGCUGCGUGGUGUCCUACCCGGUGGUGUGGUCACUGUGCUUCUUCCCUUUGGCGAGCAUUAGGGCGUUUCCAACUAUUUCAUCUAUUAAAAGCAGGGCUGCGAUGAGGACACACACGUGCACAUGCACACACGUGUGCACCCCCCAGGUGUGUCUGUAGGAAGAGGUCCCGUGGGCGGUGCCCCUGCUUCUCUGCGGAAUCCUGGGCCUGACGAGGCCACCACGUUCCGGCUCAAACACCCCCCCGGAUGAGCCCGCCUGCUGGGAGAAGGGGUCGCCAAGCCCUGAGGCCCCUUCCUUCUCUGUCACGUGUGUCCAGUGCCCGCCCAAGACUCGAGGCCUCAUCACCGAGAUCAACAGAACCCCCUGCCCCAACCUGAAUCAACCUGAUACGUCCAGGUUGCCCCCGUGGAGUCACGUGGGAAUGCCUCCCCUUCUAAGCUGGACUUGGAAGAUCCUCGGGGGCCCCCUUGGACCAGAGUAUUGCCCCGCACCCCCCUAGGCGUUUAGAAUGCUCAAUUCAUAAAGUUUCUAUUGACCACGUGAUAUGAAUAGGAUGCCGUGU